rnacentral:miRNA from 14 species
AGAGGCAGGCAGAUCGCUGUGAGUUCAAGGCCAGCCUGCUCUACAGAUUGAGUUCAAGGACAGCCAGAGCUACAGAGAAACCCUGUCUCAAAAA